rnacentral:sRNA from 12 species
CCCUGACAGGUGCAUAAAGCGCCUGACACUAGCCUCGACAGGAGUAUCACAUG